UUGCGAGAUCUGCGCACCUCAGCCAAUGAGAGCUGCAGGGGGCGGGUCAAUGUGCGCAGCCGUUGUAAACAACCCAGAGAGCGCGGCCUGGGAGGGGGCGGAGUCACCGGCAGCCUGGCAGCCAAUGGGAGCCCUGCUCUGCGUCACCGAAUUGAUGGAAAAGACCCCAAAAUCGCCGAGUCCAAGCUGUGACCCAGCACCGCCGAGUGACACGGACCAUGGCACCGGGUGACACAGCCAGCCUUUUCUUCAACACCUCCCGGGGGCGGUGACUCCAACGCCUCCAAGGAGCAGCCCAUUCCAGUGUCUAAUCACCCUUUCUGUGAAGAAAUCCCUCUGAGUGUCCAACCUGACCCUCCCCUGGCACAGCUUGAGGCCGUGUCCUCUCAUCCCAUCGCUCGUUCCCUGGGAGCAGAGGCCAAGCCCCGCUGGCUACACCCUCCUUUCAGGGAGUUGCAGAGAGCAGUAAGGUGCCCCCUGAGCCUCCUUCUCCAGACUAAACACCCCCAGCUCCCUCAGUGCCUUCUCAUAAUCCCUGUGCUCCAGACCCUUCCCUGGACUCGCUCCAGCGCCUCAAUGGCUUUUCCAAGUGAGGGGCCCAGAACCGAACCCAGCAUUCGAGGUGUGGCCUCACCAGUGCCGAGAACCGAGGGACAAUCCCUGCCCUGCUCCUCUGGCCACGCUAUUCAUGAUAGUGGCCAUUGUUGGCCUUGUCGGACCUCACCGCGCUGGCCCCGGCCCACAGAAUUCCCUGACAGCCCCGUUUCCCUGGAGCGCCUGGCGGGGGAGGAAGGGAAGGCGGUGGCCGCGCUCCCGCUGGCCUGAGGGGGGCGAUGGCGGGACGCGGCUCCGGCGAUGUCCCCGCCGUGUCCCGGGGAUGUCCCCGCCGUGUCCCGGGGAUGUCCCCGCGAAGUCUCGGGGAUGUCCCGGGAAUGUUCCAGGGCUCCCGACUGUUUGGAGGCAGUCUCCUCUCCGGCACUCCGGAGCAGGCCCGUUCUGCGGGGUCUGAGUGACACAGGACAGGCCACGGCGCAGUCCCCUGGCAUCGCCCCUGCUUUGUGUGCCCGGAGAAGUCCAUCACAUCCUGGAAGUGCCCCAAAACCGCGUGGAUAUGGCAUUUGAGGGCAUGCUUUAAUGUUGAGAAUUGAGUUGCUUGAGUGGGAACAGGAAGGGUUGAGACCCCAUUUUCAGGAGGCCAAAACCCCAAUAUAAUAACAGCUGCUGGUUAGUGGUGGGAAUUCCAGGAAAUGAUGUGGAUAAUAGCAGCCAAGACCUGGCAGAGAGGUGGACAGAACAACCUCAGAUACUGGCACUGACAGAUUUUCUAGUGGUUUCCAGUCCUGGAACAAGAAAGAGGAGAACAAAUCCACACUGCAUGUCUUCCUGUCUGGAGAAAAACAUACA